UCCUACGGGACGCAGCAGUGAGGAAUAUUGGUCAAUGGGCGGGAGCCUGAACCAGCCAAGUCGCGUGAGGGAAGACGGUCCUAUGGAUUGUAAACCUCUUUAGGCGGGGAGCAAUGCCGGGCACGCGUGUCCGGAGGGAGAGUACCCGCAGAAUAAGCAUCGGCUAACUCCGUGCCAGCAGCCGCGGUAAUACGGAGGAUGCGAGCGUUAUCCGGAUUUAUUGGGUUUAAAGGGUGCGUAGGCGGACUGGAAAGUCAGCGGUAAAAUCGAGAGGCUCAACCUCUUUCCGCCGUUGAAACUGUCGG
rnacentral:rRNA from 1 species